CCUACGGGUGGCAGCAGUCGAGAAUCAUUCACAAUGGGGGAAACCCUGAUGGUGCGACGCCGCGUGGGGGAAUGAAGGUCUUCGGAUUGUAAACCCCUGUCAUGUGGGAGCAAAUUAAAAAGAUAGUACCACAAGAGGAAGAGACGGCUAACUCUGUGCCAGCAGCCGCGGUAAUACAGAGGUCUCAAGCGUUGUUCGGAAUCACUGGGCGUAAAGCGUGCGUAGGCUGUUUCGUAAGUCGUGUGUGAAAGGCGCGGGCUCAACCCGCGGACGGAACAUGAUACUGCGAGACGAGAGGAAUGGAGGGGGAACCGGAAUUCUCGGUGUAGCAGUGAAAUGCGUAGAUAUCGAGAGGAACACUCGUGGCGAAGGCGGGUUCCUGGACAUUAACUGACGCUGAGGCACGAAGGCCAGGGGAGCGAAAGGGAUUAGAUACCCUAGUAGUC
rnacentral:rRNA from 1 species